rnacentral:rRNA from 1 species
AAAGGGCCCUUCGGGGCCCGAGUAAAGUGGCGAACGAGUGCGUAACACGUAGGCAACCUGCCCUCGAGCGGGGGAUAACCACCGGAAACGGUGGCUAAUACCGCGUGAAGACUGGAGGUCGCAUGACUACCAGUUGAAAGACUUCGGUCGCUCGAGGAUGGGCCUGCGUCGGAUUAGCUUGUUGGUGAGGUAUACGGCUCACCAAGGCAACGAUCCGUAGCUGGUCUGAGAGGAUGAUCAGCCACACUGGCACUGAGACACGGGCCAGACUCCUACGGGAGGCAGCAGUGAGGAAUCUUGCGCAAUGGAGGAAACUCUGACGCAGCCACGCCGCGUGAAGGAAGACACCCCUAUGGGGCGUAAACUUCUUUUAUAUGGGAAGAACACCCUGCUCGGCAGGGUCUGACGGUACCAUAUGAAUAAGCACCGGCUAACUCCGUGCCAGCAGCCGCAGUAAUACGGAGGGUGCAAGCGUUGUCCGGAAUCACUGGGUGUAAAGGGUGUGUAGGUGGGACUGUAAGUCAGAGGUGAAAGCCCACGGCUCAACCGUGAAAUGCCUUGAUACUGCAGUUCUUGAGUCCUGGAGAGGUCGCUGGAAUUCGUGGUGUAGCGGUGAAAUGCGUAGA